UACGAAGGGUGCGAACGUUAUUCGGAAUUACUGGGCGUAAAGCGUGCGUAGACGGUCAUGUAAGUCGGGUGUGAAAGCCCCGGGCUCAACCUGGGAAUUGCAUUCGAGACUGCAUGGCUAGGAUGCGGAAGAGGGAAGCGGAAUUUCCGGUGUAGCGGUGAAAUGCGUAGAUAUCAAGCGGAACACCGGUGGCGAAGGCGGCCUUCUGGACAGUGACUGACGCUGAGACGCGAAAGCGUGGGGAGCAAACAGG
rnacentral:rRNA from 1 species